rnacentral:rRNA from 1 species
CACGUAGGGCGCAAGCGUUGUCCGGAAUUAUUGGGCGUAAAGAGCUCGUAGGCGGACUGUCACGUCUGCUGUGAAAAGCUGGGGCUUAACCCUGGCCUUGCAGUGGAUACGGGCAGACUAGAGGUAGGUAGGGGAGAAUGGAAUUCCCGGUGUAGCGGUGAAAUGCGCAGAUAUCGGGAGGAACACCGGUGGCGAAGGCGGGUCUCUGGGCCGAUACUGACGCUGAGGAGCGAAAGCGUGGGGAGCGAACAGG